GUGUCAGCAGCCGCGGUAAUACGUAGGGUGCGAGCGUUAAUCGGAAUUACUGGGCGUAAAGCGUGCGCAGGCGGUUUCGCAAGUCAGAUGUGAAAGCCCCGGGCUUAACCUGGGAACUGCGUUUGAAACUACGAAGCUAGAGUACGGCAGAGGGAGGUGGAAUUCCAAGUGUAGCAGUGAAAUGCGUAGAUAUUUGGAGGAACACCGAUGGCGAAGGCAGCCUCCUGGGCUAGUACUGACGCUCAUGCACGAAAGCGUGGGGAGCAAACAGGAUUAGAUACCCUGGUAGUCCACGCCCUAAACGAUGGCAACUAGUUGUUGGGGAUUAACAUCCUUAGUAACGCAGCUAACGCGUGAAGUUGCCCGCCUGGGGAGUACGGUCGCAAGAUUAAA
rnacentral:rRNA from 1 species